rnacentral:other from 1 species
AAACCCCUGCGCGGUGCGUGAUGGCUUUCUAUUUAAACCCACAUUUUUUCUACGGGAUGCUGACUCAGACGGCGGAUCGCAGGCCUCCCGGCCCCCUGCGGGCUGGAAGUUGGAAGCGGCGAAACCGGAUGGAGGCGACCCACCUGCCCAUUCGUGCAGGUUUUUAAAUGGGGUCACACGGCCGAGGCGGGGGUCUU